rnacentral:rRNA from 1 species
GACGAACCGUGCGAACGUUGUUCGGAAUCACUGGGCUUAAAGGGCGCGUAGGCGGGCUAUCAAGUCCGGGGUGAAAUCCUCCCGCUCAACGGGAGAACGGCCUCGGAUACUGAUGGUCUCGAGGGGGCUAGGGGCACGCGGAACUGUGGGUGGAGCGGUGAAAUGCGUUGAUAUCCAUAGGAACUCCGGUGGCGAAAGCGGCGUGCUGGAUCCCUUCUGACGCUGAGGCGCGAAAGCCAGGGGAGCAAACGGG